ensembl:lncRNA
AUGAUGAUGAUGAUGAUGAUGAUGAUGAGAAAGACAAGAAGAAGAAAAAGAAGAAGAAGAAGGACAAGGACUCCUCCAGCUCCUCCUCUUCUUUGUCUGAUAGCUCUUCCUCAGACAGCGAAGAUGACAAGAAGAAAAAAAAGAAGAAGAAGACGAAGAAGAAGAAGGAUAAGGAUUCCUCCUCUUCUUCUUCUGAUAGUGAAGAUGACGAGAAGAAGAAGAAGAAAAAGAAGAAGAAGACCAAGAAGAAGAAGGAUAAGGAUUCCUGCUCCUCCUCUUCUUCUUCUGAUAGUGAAGAUGACGAGAAGAAGAAGAAGAAAAAGAAGAAGAAGACCAAGAAGAAGAAGGAUAAGGAUUCCUGCUCCUCCUCUUCUUCUUCUGAUAGUGAAGAUGACGAGAAGAAGAAGAAGAAGACGAAGAAGAAGAAGGAUAAGGAUUCCUGCUCCUCUUCCUCUUCUUCUGAUAGUGAAGAUGACGAGAAGAAGAAGAAAAAGAAGAAGAAGAAGAAGAAGAAGAAGAAGAAGAAGAAGUGCUGCUGUUGUGACGAUGGCUCCUCUUCGUCCUCUGAUAGUGAUGCUGACAAGAAGAAAAAGAAGAAGAAAGACAAGAAGAAGAAAAAGAAGAAGGACAAAAAGAAGGUAAUCCAAUGUUUGAUGAGGGAAAUCGCGUUUAUGGUAAAUGUAUUGUUCUACAAAACAUAGAUGAUGGAGUGUUUCAUGCUUUACAUUCGAGCAGGACUCCAGUUCAUCGAGUUCAUCUGAUAGUUUCUGUGGCAGUGACAAGGAAAAUAAAAAGGACGAGAAGGACGAGAAGGACGAGAAGGACAAGAAGGACGAGAAGAAGAAGGUCAAUUAGAAAACCAUCUGCAUGACCCGCUCACUCACAAUUCACCUUCUUCUGUACAGGCCUGAUUUUCCAUUUGCAGUAUCCUUCAUGUGGUGGUGUUGAUUUCAUUGCAGGAAUGCCCUGAGCAAUGCGACAAGCCAAAAACGGAAGUUUCCGGCUCAGGUGGUGGCGGCUUUUCAGCUCCCAGUGGCAGCUACUCUAAGUCUGCAGUUGCUCCUGGCGGUGGUCCUGCCAGGUGAUCCUGCCGGUGGUCCUGCCGGUGGUCCUGCCGGUGGUCCUGCCGGUGCUCCUGCCGGUGCUCCUGCCGGUGCUCCUGCCGGUGCUCCUGCCGUCUCUUACGCGUCACUCCCCUCCAAACCCUUUGUGAAGCUGGAUCCGAGUCUUUCAACUGUCUCCAAGCCCCCUUUCUCUAGCACCACCCUGAGUAUGGGAGAUAGGGCCCCCAUUCGCAGACCUCCCAGCCCCAUGGAGUCUUUGAUGGGGAGCCCGAGGAGGUAUGGAGAGCGUUCCACCUCCCACCUCACCUCCAGUGACCUAUUGAAAGGCCCCAAGCCUUACUAAUAAUGAGAUGUCAUGGAUAGAAAUGUGAUUUUACUGAUACUGGAGGAUGUUGAAUGUGAUGAUGAUAUGAUUAGAGGUUAGUGUGUAAAGAUGCAUUGUGACAUGAUGAACAUUGUCAAGUCGAGGAAGAUAAUUACACCAUGAGAAAUCAUUUUGUUAUAAAAACUUUUACUUAAUAGUUCAUAAUUUGUCAAUUUAAUUGUUAAAAAAAUGCACAUUUGUGGCAGAAAUGUCAAUUCAUAAUCACAUGAAAUAAUUAGAAAUCCUUGCUUUGUGGAAUAAAAUAAUAUGAUUUCAU